rnacentral:rRNA from 1 species
CCUACGGGUGGCAGCAGUGAGGAAUAUUGGUCAAUGGACGAGAGUCUGAACCAGCCAAGUAGCGUGAAGGAUGACUGCCCUAUGGGUUGUAAACUUCUUUUAUAUGGGAAUAAAACGUUCCACGUGUGGGAUUUUGUAUGUACCAUAUGAAUAAGGAUCGGCUAACUCCGUGCCAGCAGCCGCGGUAAUACGGAGGAUCCGAGCGUUAACCGGAUUUAUUGGGUUUAAAUGGAGCGUAGGUGGAUUGUUAAGUCAGUUGUGAAAGUUUGCGGCUCAACCGUAAAAUUGCAGUUGAAACUGGCAGUCUUGAGUACAGUAGAGGUGGGCGGAAUGCGUGGUGUAGCGGUGAAAUGCUUAGAUAUCACGAAGAACUCCGAUUGCGAAGGCAGUUCACUGGACUGCAACUGACACUGAGGCUCGAAAGUGUGGGUAUCAAACAGGAUUAGAUACCCUAGUAGUC